rnacentral:rRNA from 1 species
CUCAGGACGAACGCUGGCGGCGUGCUUAACACAUGCAAGUCGAACGGAAAGGCCCUGCUUGCAGGGUACUCGAGUGGCGAACGGGUGAGUAACACGUGGGUGAUCUGCCCUGCACUUCGGGAUAAGCUUGGGAAACUGGGUCUAAUACCGGAUAGGAACCAUCUUUAGUGUGGUGGUUGGAAAGUUUUUUCGGUGUAGGAUGAGCUCGCGGCCUAUCAGCUUGUUGGUGGGGUAGUGGCCUACCAAGGCGGCGACGGGUAGCCGGCCUGAGAGGGUGUACGGCCACAUUGGGACUGAGAUACGGCCCAGACUCCUACGGGAGGCAGCAGUGGGGAAUAUUGCACAAUGGGCGCAAGCCUGAUGCAGCGACGCCGCGUGGGGGAUGAAGGCCUUCGGGUUGUAAACUCCUUUCGCUAGGGACGAAGCUUUUUGUGGCGGUACCUAGAUAAGAAGCACCGGCUAACUACGUGCCAGCAGCCGCGGUAAUACGUAGGGUGCGAGCGUUGUCCGGAAUUACUGGGCGUAAAGGGCUCGUAGGUGGUUUGUCGCGUCGUCUGUGAAAUUCUGGGGCUUAACUCCGGGCGUGCAGGCGAUACGGGCAUAACUUGAGUGCUGUAGGGGUAACUGGAAUUCCUGGUGUAGCGGUGAAAUGCGCAGAUAUCAGGAGGAACACCGAUGGCGAAGGCAGGUUACUGGGCAGUUACUGACGCUGAGGAGCGAAAGCA